GUUUCUGGGCUAUGGAAAUGGAUGGUGGCUCUGUCUGGCUCUGUCUAGCUCCAGACACCCCUGUUUGGCGGGUAGCAAGACUCUGCCCAGGGAACUGACCACAGCUGCCCAUAUCACACACACACCUGAUAUCCCAAUAGUGUGAUACGCCAUUCCUAACGGUGCAGGCUAAGCGUCAGGGGUUACUACUUCAUUCAAGAGGAAACAGACUUAGAUGAUUAGUUAUCACCAAAUAUUCAAUAGUCUGUUAAUACAUAAACUGAUCACUGUGAAACAGGCCCAAGCUGCCAAGCAGUGGCUCUGGAAACCGACCCCAAGGAAAACAUGACAGAAUUUCUGGUCAGGCAUGCCUCCCAAUACUGAAAGGGCUUUUUGGGCAUAGAUGUAGGCGGGAAGGAGGAGGACAUUAGUUCUCAAUGAUUUCUGGGAAGAAGGGUUGCCUCCCUAGGACUUGCCCAGACUCGUCCACCUGGGGGUGUGGCUUCAACCAGCACUGUGGCGCCAUAUGCAAUACAAAACACUUGGUUCCAUCUGGAUUUCUUUCUUUUUUUUUUUUUUUUCCCCGAGACGGAGUUUCGCUCUUGUUACCCAGGCUGGAGUGCAAUAGCGCGAUCUUGUCUCACCAUAACCUCCGCCUCCUGGGAUCAGGCAAUUCUCCUGCCUCAGCCUCCUGAGUAGCUGGGAUUACAGGCAGGCACUACCAUGUCCAGCUAAUUUUUUGUAUUUUUUAAUAGAGAUAGCGUUUCACCAUGUUGACCAGGAUGGAUGGUCUCGAUCUCUUGACCUCGUGAUCCACCCGCCUUGACCUCCCAAAGUGCUGGGAUUACAGGCGUGAGCCACCGCGCCCGGCCUCCAUCUGGAUUUCAAAUGCACAAUGACUAUCUUCAUAGAUGCUGGAAAUGUGGGGCCGCCUCCCGGGGGCAAAGCCAGCAGCGAAUGGAGAAGCAGCCCGAGGUAGCCACUGCCAGGCCCAGGCGCAGGCCGCUGCAGCACCACGUCCCUGCAAGGUCCAGCGCCCCAGCCGUCGGGGGAAUGGACAUUUAGUCCAGCUGUGCUUGGGCCAGCAUCUGGGCUCCUGCUGCAGAUCUGCCUCGACCUGGAUCGCUCAUCACCUGCACAGCCCGAACGACUUAAGGGAUGGCCGGGGGCUGGCGGGACGCCCGUCUUCCCAGCACGGCGGCCCCCUACCUCGAUGCCAGCCCCGCCACCCAAGCCCCGGGUGCCGCCCGCCGUUUGCGCGCGCGGUGCUGGCGGCCACACGGGGGCGCUGGCGCCCGCCGCGCGCCUCGCUGUGCAGAGCCCAGAGAACAAAGGGCGCCUCGGGACCUCGGCCUCCCUUACCUGGAGCCACCUGCUUCCCGGGCGCCGCGCCCCCGCACCAAGCCAGCAUCCGCCACCCGCGAAGGAGUUAAUUUUUUCUCAGCGCUGCUCUUAGAAAUCUGUUAAGGAAAUCGGUCCCCACUUGAUGGCCUUUCUCCCCAGCCUGGGGACAAAAUACGAGAACUCUGGGACUCUAAAAAGGUUACUGGGUUUGUGGUUUUACGAUGUGUGCGGCUCUGUACUCUCCUCUCCCUCCCUGAGUUUACCAGGAUCCUGGCAGCA
ensembl:lncRNA